rnacentral:snRNA from 1 species
GGAUGUGAGGGUGAUCUGGCUGAGACAUCUGUCACACCAUUGAUCGCCAGGGUUGAUUCCCCUAAUCUGGCUGGCUAGGCGGGUCCUCUUCCUUCCUCACUGCUCCAUGUGUGUUCUUCCCCAACCUGCGAGCUCAGAAGAGAGCGGCCUUCCCCAAUAGAGACAGACCGGUCUUGGUCGAGGGUACAUGAGUAGCUGCACUCCCUUGCUAGAACCUUUAAACAAGCUCCUCAGAAUAUGGAGAUAAUCAUUUUAGAACAUAUCGUUAUGAUGGUAUAGUAAUGUAAGGAUUGCACACGAUUGAACGUUUAAAUGUGUAUUUAUUGUGUGGAUAGAGACAGAAAUU